AUACGUAGGGAGCGAGCGUUGUCCGGAAUUACUGGGAGUAAAGGGAGCGUAGGCGGGAGUGCAAGUCAGAUGUGAAAUACAUGGGCUAAACCCAUGGGCUGCAUUUGAAACUGCAUUUCUUGAGUGAAGUAGAGGUAAGCGGAAUUCCUGGUGUAGCGGUGAAAUGCGUAGAUAUCAGGAGGAACACCGGUGGCGAAGGCGGCUUACUGGGCUUUUACUGACGCUGAGGCUCGAAAGCGUGGGGAGCAAACAGGAUUAGAUACCCUGGUAGUCCACGCUGUAAACGAUGAUUACUAGGUGUGGGGGGACUGACCCCUUCCGUGCCGCAGUUAACACAAUAAGUAAUCCACCUGGGGAGUACGGCCGCAAGGUUGAAACUCAAAUGAAUUGGCGGGG
rnacentral:rRNA from 1 species